GACAGAGGGGGCAAGCGUUGCUCGGAAUUACUGGGCGUAAAGGGCGCGUAGGCGGGCUGGCAAGUCGGUCGUGAAAUCCCUCGGCUCAACCGAGGAACGUCGAUCGAUACUGCUGUUCUUGAGGAUUGCAGAGGAGACUGGAAUUCCCGGUGUAGCGGUGAAAUGUGUAGAGAUCGGGAGGAACACCGAUGGCGAAGGCGGGUCUCUGGGCAAUUCCUGACGCUGAGGCGCGAAAGCGUGGGGAGCAAACGGG
rnacentral:rRNA from 1 species